ensembl:lncRNA
GAAAAAAUAUUUUCUACCUGGGGUGUUGCAUCUUAGAUAGAACAUUUUAAUUGGUUGUUUAAAUCCACCAGUUGCCUCUAUUAUCAGAAGUACCGCAACUGGUGAAUACUCUUUGUUUAGUUGGGUCGCACAUCACCAGCUGCAAGUUCCUCCUCCUAUUUUCUUGCAUACUUUGCUGGGAACUGUGCUCUGCUGUCUACUGUCCCUUUUCUGUGUAACUCAUCUUCGAAGUCGGACGCCCAGCUCUAACUCAUCUCUCAGACAUGCCCGGACUUGUCUCUUUGUGGGAGGACAAUAUUGGGGGGGAGGGCAUUAUGGUCAAUAUGAUAUGGCACAGACUUUACAUUAAAUGCACCUGUUUAAAUCGGUACAGUCUAAAGCAGUCUGGAUAAACUCUGUACAUGCGAAAUAUUAUUUUGGAGGCUGUAGAUUUUAUUGCUAUUGAAUUUCUACUGUGCUGUGUAUCAAACUGGUUAAAAGGCAUAUAUGUGCCAUCUGUGCCAUCAUGAAUUCACAGCAUGCAGUAUAAGACUUCUGACCCGAUGCCCAGCAGAGGGACUUCCCAUUACAAUCCUGGCCGUGGACCUAUUGGAUUGAUUUUAAUGGCUGUUCUCUUUCUGAUUGGGAUUGGAGCACUGUGAUCUUCUGAGACUUUGGAUCUUCAACAUUUAUCCCUCAGCAUGAAACAUCACGCUGAAACAUCAUUUUUUUUUUUUUACUCAUAGAUACUUACUUUCUGUCUUAAAAUGUUUUUAACUGUAUUGGCACAGCAUAAUGGCCAAAUAGGAUGUGUUUUAUUGCAUAUGCUUAAGCCCAAAGAAGUCGCCUUUUUUUUAGAAAAACAAUUUCCAUAAUAACUGGUUAUUUUUCUGUAAAUCACCUUCAUGCUUAUUUGGCUUAUCAGACUUCAGCUUUACUUGACAGCAAAUAAUUAUGUUUGAAACGCAUAUACAUAUCUGGCCUUAAUUAUAAACACAUCUGCAUAUCAAGCUGCAUAUGGUUCAUGUUCUUUUUCAUAACAGACACUGGAACAGAAUAUAAUGUGCUCAGUUAAUAAUCAGAAGAGUGUACAUCAUGGGAAAUCCCUCAGCUGCUAGGGCUUGCAGGAUCAGUGCAGCCAUUUCACUGUGGCAGAUGUAGUGUAUUUUGUUCCCAUACCUAUAUUUUUGCUUAAAAAUAUUUUAAUGGACAGUUAUAUGAAAUGUUAUUUUUUGUCAGAACGC